UCUGGUGGUAAAACGGGAUGGGGAGGAAGGGGAAGACAGAAACUCCCUUCUGGCCAGGCGCCUCCCUUGCCUUUGGUCUGAGCUGCCCAUAAUUAGCCGCCUUUAGAUCCCCGUGGGGUGAGCCAGGCUGCGCUGCGAUUCCAGCAGGCCCAGAGCAUUUCUUGCCACUUCUGGUCCAAGCACAUCUAUUUCUGGCAGUUUAAUUUUGGAUGCUAUGCUCCUGGCGUGGGAAGGAAGGCAGGAAGGGCAUUUAGGUAGCUGGACCAGAAGGAAACCAUGGCCAGAUGACUUUUCAAACCGUGUUCCCUUAGGAACAGGCUGGUUUUGGCAGCUAAACUGUUCUUCCCGCACCUACUUACAGGUGGGUGAGCAGAGGCUGGGAGGCUGGGAGGCUCACCUUAUACUGAGGCAGCCCAGGUGCAUUUGCAGAAGAACCAUCACACUAUGAGGAACCCAGGCCUUGUAAAGAUGGAGACGGGCUUGGAGUCCACUGGGUCCAGUUACAGGGCCAAGCAGAGGGCUGGCACUCAAUCCAUGCACUUGAGAGUGAACUGUCAGCAACCCAGAGCGAUGUCAUUUUCCUCCGGCUGGGGGACUACAGUGGGUGUCCCAGGAAAAUGCCCUGCAUGUAGGCUAUUUUAGAAUUUGGCAGGGCAUUUGAGAGUCCCUCCUGCAAUCCUCAUGAACCACAGAGAUAAAUAUGCACUGAAUAUUGGCCUGGCAUUGUGCUGACGUCUUUCCAUGGAUGAGUCUCAUGUAUUAAUCCUUGCUACAACUCCACAAGAACAACCGAUUUUCAUCCUCACACCGAAGAUGAGGAAGUUCAGGCAUCAAGCAGGUAAGUCACUUACCUAGGGCCACA